GACGAACGCUGGCGGCGCGCCUAACACAUGCAAGUCGAACGAGCGAGAGAGAGCUUGCUUUCUCGAGCGAGUGGCGAACGGGUGAGUAACGCGUGAGGAACCUGCCUCAAAGAGGGGGACAACAGUUGGAAACGACUGCUAAUACCGCAUAAGCCCACGGCUCGGCAUCGAGCAGAGGGAAAAGGAGUAAUCCGCUUUGAGAUGGCCUCGCGUCCGAUUAGCUAGUUGGUGAGGUAAUGGCCCACCAGGGCGACGAUCGGUAGCCGGACUGAGAGGUUGAACGGCCACAUUGGGACUGAGACACGGCCCAGACUCCUACGGGAGGCAGCAGUGGGGAAUAUUGCACAAUGGGGGAAACCCUGAUGCAGCGACGCCGCGUGGAGGAAGAAGGUCUUCGGAUUGUAAACUCCUGUUGUUGGGGAAGAUAAUGACGGUACCCAACAAGGAAGUGACGGCUAACUACGUGCCAGCAGCCGCGGUAAAACGUAGGUCACAAGCGUUGUCCGGAAUUACUGGGUGUAAAGGGAGCGCAGGCGGGAAGACAAGUUGGAAGUGAAAUCUAUGGGCUCAACCCAUAAACUGCUUUCAAAACUGUUUUUCUUGAGUAGUGCAGAGGUAGGCGGAAUUCCCGGUGUAGCGGUGGAAUGCGUAGAUAUCGGGAGGAACACCAGUGGCGAAGGCGGCCUACUGGGCACCAACUGACGCUGAGGCUCGAAAGUGUGGGUAGCAAACAGGAUUAGAUACCCUGGUAGUCCACACCGUAAACGAUGAAUAUUAGGGGUGGGAGGAUUGACCCCCUCAGUCCCGCAGUUAACACAAUAAGUAAUCCACCUGGGGAGUGCGACCGCAAGGUUGAAACUCAAAGGAAUUGACGGGGGCCCGCCCAAGCAGUGGAGUAUGUGGUUUAAUUCGACGCAACGCGAAGAACCUUACCAAGUCUUGACAUCCCUUGACAGGCAUAGAAAUAUGUUUUCUUUUCGGAGCAAGGAGACAGGUGGUGCAUGGUUGUCGUCAGCUCGUGUCGUGAGAUGUUGGGUUAAGUCCCGCAACGAGCGCAACCCUUAUGGUCAGUUACUACGCAAGAGGACUCUGGCCAGACUGCCGUUGACAAAACGGAGGAAGGUGGGGAGGACGUCAAAUCAUCAUGCCCCCUAUGACUUGGGCUACACACGUACUACAAUGGCGUUAAACAAAGAGAAGCAAGACCGCGAGGUGGAGCAAAACUCAGAAACAACGUCCCAGUUCGGACUGCAGGCUGCAACUCGCCUGCACGAAGUCGGAAUUGCUAGUAAUCGUGGAUCAGCAUGCCACGGUGAAUAAGUUCCCGGGCCUUGCACU
rnacentral:rRNA from 1 species